rnacentral:lncRNA from 1 species
GCGAAUUUAGAAGAUCUAUCGCAGGACAUGCAAAUUUUUUUCACUAUGGAUUCAGGUAAACUUCCGUUGCAGAACUAAUCUUUUAGAUUUGGUAUGAGUUUGGUUAUUUAGAUUUCAUAUCUAGUUUUGAAAUCCCUAUAAGUGGUAUCAGAACCACCUCAUAUUAGAUCUUUGAUAUUAAAAUAAUUUUUAGAUUUUUUAUGGUAAAAUUUUGGAUUAAGUAUACAUAUUUUUUGCGGUCAAUUUUCGGAUUCGGAUAUAUAUAGAUUUUUUCUUUUAAUUAUGGAUUAAAGAACCAAAAUUUUUCGGGAUCUGUUUUUCUUUGCUUUUUGGAAUUUUUAGAUCUAUUUUUUUGAAUUACUUUUUAAAAUUUUCAGAUUUGUUUUCUCAGAUUAAUUUUCAUAUUUUUCAUAUAUGUUUUUCGAAAAUUAAAAAUAUAUAUGUAUAUAUAUAGUUUAUAGACAAAGAAAAAAUGAACAAAAGAGGGGAUGGAUUGGCCUCCCGGUCGCAGCUUAACAACUGCAACCACACCUGGUGCGGCGUGACCGUGAACCAGUUGCGACCUCCUAGUCGCAACAUGCAUAGAAGAAGCGGUGCCCAUGGCCACCGAAUGAAGGUAGAAGAAGAAGAAAAAGAAAAAAAAAACAAAAUAAAAAGAUGAAGAAAAAUGAAGAAAGAAAACGAAAAAGGGAGGCCCGCGUAUGCUUGGGCCUAAGGCCCAAACAGAUUCUGGCUAGGCCCAACCUGGUAAGACUCAACCUGGUCUAAUUCGAGCCGGUUUAGCUGAUCAAUUAAUGGGUUGACCGAUCAACGAUUAACAACUGACUUUGACUACUCAAUUUGUUGACCAAAUAAUUUUUUUAAAAAAUUAAUUAAUAAAAAAAUAAGAAUAUUUUAUUUUUUAUUAUUUUUUUAAAAAAUAUUUUCUUUGUAUAAUUUUAAGAAGAUUAUAGAUAUUUUUCUUCAUUUUACAGUAAAAUUCAGUAUAAUUUUGAAUUUAAAUAUCAGUAUAUGUGUAUACAUUUUGAAAUGAAUCAAUUUACAUAACAUGUCACCAAAGUAAUCUCUUUUGUGUUAAGUUAUUUUAUUUUAGAAUGUAAACGGUUAUAUGAGUGUAAUUUAUAUGAAUACUAAUCGACCCAAAGAAAGGUUAAUGUUUAAUAUGAUUGCAUUCCUACAUGUGGUAAUAAAUGUGUGACAGUUUUAUAUAUAUAUGUAUAUAUAUAUUUAUAUAGUUUGUAAACAAAGAAAAACAUGAAGAAAAGGGGAGACAAAUUAGCCUCCUGGUCACGGCUAUAUAGCCACAACCACGCCCACUGCGGCAUGGCUGUGAAGCAGCCGCGACCUCCUAUUUACAACAUGCAGAAAAGAAGCAGUAGCCAUGGCCACUGCAUGAAGGUAGAAGAAGAAGACCAGAAAAAGAAGAAAGGGAGGCCCGCAUACGCUUGGGCCUAAAGCCCAGAGGGAUUCUAGUUGGGCCUAACCCAAUUAGACUCGACCCUGUCAAGUUUGACCCGAUUAAGCCAAUCAGUCAACAAGUUGACUAGUCAACAAUCAACCAUUGACUUUGAUUGGUUAACGAUCAAUCAUUGACCAAAUAUUUUUUAAAAAAAUUAAUUAAUUAAAAAAAUAAAAAUAUUUUAUUUAUUUAUUAUUUUUAAAAGAUAUUUUCUUUGUAUAAUUUUAAGAACAUUAUAGAUAUUUUUCUUCAUUUUACAGUAAAACUCAGUAUAAUUUUGAAUUUAAAUAUUGGUGUAUGUAUAUAUAUUUUAAAAUUAAUCAAUUUAUACAACAUAUCACCAAAGUGACAUCUCUUGUACUAAGUUAAUUUAUUUUAGAAUAUAAAUAGUUGUAUAGGUGUAAUUUAUAUAAAUGUUAAUCAGCCCAAAGGAAAGUUAAUAUUUAACGUAAUUGCAUUCCUACAUGUGCUAAUAAAUGUGUGACAGUUAUUUGGUUUUGUAUGUGAACUAUAAAUUGGGUCAAAUAAAGAUUUAAAGGUAUUAAAUGAAGAUUCAUCGUUUGAUGUGUUCUUAAUGUCAGUAUUUGAUUGUUGUAUCAAGAUAUCACUUACAAGUUAAUAUUUUAUCCAAAGACAGAGUAUUAAUGAAGUGCUAGGUAUCUUAAGAUGAUAUUAUCUUUAUUUGAAUUCAUGAUUAUUGUUUCUAGUUUAAGUAUUUAUGUAAUUAAUAGUUGUUCUCUAUUAAAUUUCUGGUUCUACUGCAAAUAUCUCCGCGAGUGUUAAUUCUAUCACAAUCUUAAAUAACACAAACUCUAAGGCAUGGAAAAAGAAUGUUCUCGUUGUUCUAGGAGGUAUGAUUUGGACCUUACUUUACGGUUCGAUCAACCCGAUCCGCUUACUACUGAGAGUACCUCCGACAAUAAGAGGGAGUUUGAUAGGUGGAAUCGUUCAAACAGUAUAAAUUUAAUGAUUGUGAAACAUGUCAUUUUACAAGUUUUUUGGGGCACUAUGUCCGAUGAGAUAACUAUAGCUAGGGGUUUCCUUAAGAACCUCGAGAAACGUUUUGCCAAGAAUGAGAAGAUUGAAACUAAUACACUCUUGGUGAAUCUUGUUUUCAUGAGGUAUAAAGGGAAAUGAAACAUAAGGGAGUACAUUAUGGAAAUGUCUCAUACUACUUUCAACUCAAAGCACCUAGACUGGACUUAUCAGAAGAAUUAUUAGUGCACUUAGUUUUAAUAUAUCUUCCACCAUAGUUUAUUCAGUUUAAGGUGAGCUACAACUGUCAGAAGGAUUCUUGGUUCCUUAAUGAGCUCAUCUCUCACUGUGUUCAAGAAAACAAAAUGCUAAAACAUGAGUAGAAAGAGACUGCUCACUUAGCCACUAUUUCUAAAGACAAUAGGAACAAGAAAAGAAAGAAUAAUAAAGAUGUUGCAGUUUAUACACAACAAAAGAAACAACAUAAUAAACAAAAUGAGGAUGGUUGUUUCUUCUGUGGAGUUACAGGUCAUAAGAAGAAACAGUGUAGCAACUAUCACGCAUGAUGUGCAAAGAAAUUUAUACUUCUUAAUUUUGUUUGUUCCGAGGUUAAUUUAACUUCGGUACCUAGACACAUAUGGUUGAUAGAUUUUAGUGCAACAACUCACAUUAGUGUGUCUAUCCAGGGUUGUCUAAGUUAUAGAAAGCCAAGUGAGGAUGCUAUAUUCGUUUAUGUUGGAACGACAAAUCAAUGGAAGUUGAGGCGAUCAGGACAUUUAGAUUAUUUUUAAGAACUGUUAUUAUUUGGAUUUGAAUGAUACUUAUGUUUGUCGUUUAGACGAAAUUUGAUUUCUAUUUCCGUUUUGGACAAAUUUAGUUAUCGUUGUUCAUUUGGAAUGAAAACGAAAAUAAUCUCUUUCAUGAUUCAAAAUUGGUUAGUAUUGGUUCUUUAUCAAGUUAUGAUAAUCUAUAUUUCUGGAUAUAAUUACUCUUAUAAUGAAUCCUUGUAUGUGUGUACACGAGGUGUAAAACAUAAAUUAACUAGUGAAAAUUCCACCUUAUUAUGGCAUAGACGAUUAGAUCAUAUCUCUGAAAGGAAAAUUGAGAAAUUUGUGUCAAAUGAAAUUCUUGAUACCCUUGAUUUUACAUAUUUUGACAUGUGUUAUUUACAUUAAGGGGAAACAUAAAAAUAUUAGGAGAUUGGGUGCCAACAAGAUUAUGGAUGUAUUAAAAUUUAUACAUACAGAUAUUUAUGGACCAUUUCCCUACAACUUCUUAGAUUGGUAAAAAAUACUUUAUAACUUUCAUAGAUGAUUAAUCUAGAUAUGAUUACAUUUAUCUCAUUUAUGAAAAAUUACAGUAUGUGUUCAGAAAUUUUAAAGCUGCAAUUGAGAACUAACUCAACAAAAAGAUUAAAGCUGUUUGAUCUGACCGUGGUGAUGAAUACUAUGGUAGAUAUGACAGAUCAUGUGAAUAAUGUCUAGGACUGUUUACUAAAUUCAUAGAUAAAUGCGAUAUCGUCUCAUAGUACACUAUUCCGGGUUCACUUAACAUGAAUGGUGUUGCUCAAAGGCAAAAUAGAAUGCUCAAAUUUAUGAGAGUAUGAUAGUCAUUCUACCUUACUUAAAUCUCUUUGGGGAGAAGUAUUAAAUACCGCAACAUAUGUACUUAACAUAUUUCCAAUUAAAACAAUUGUAAAGACUCCUUAUGAGUUUUGGACGGAUAAUAAUCCUAGUAUAAAGCAUUUAUACAUUUGGGAUGUCUAACUGAUAUAAGACCUUAUAGACCAAAUGAAAAGAAACUAGAAUUAAGAACUGUUAGUUGUUAUUUUGUUGGAUAUUCUGAAAGAUCUGGGGGUUAUAAGUUUUGUGAUUCCACGACUAAGUCAAUUUUUGAGACAAGAAAUGCUCAGAUCUUUGAGGAUGUUGAGUUUGAAGGGGGAGAGAGAAUUUGGAACCUUGUCUUUGAAGGAAAAACACAUUAAUAUUCUAUUAACUGCUAUUAUGAAUGAUUAGGAUCAGACUCUUAUACCUAACAUUGCUAAGGAAGCAAUUCUAGACUUAUACAAUGUCAUUUACCUCCUAUUCAAGCUCAAGAAGUUGUUCAAGAAGAACAAAUUAUACAAUUUCAAGAAUUAAUGCCAUUAAGAAGAUCCACCAGAUAGAUGAGAAGUUUAAUUUCAUAUGAUUAUAUUAUAUUUCUCCAAGAGCAUGAGGAUGACAUUGGAAUAAUGAAGAUAAUUUAAUCAACUUCUGUCAAACCAUGGAAAGUUCUAACUCUCAAAAGUGGAUUAAUGUCAUGAAUUAAGAGAUUAAGUCCAUGGAGGACAAUGACAUAUGGGAACUUGUCCCAAUGCUUGAAAGUGCAAAACCCAUUAGUUACAAAUAAAUAUUUAAUAUCAAGAGGGAUUCGAAAGGUGAUUUCGAUAGGUACAAGGCUCUUGUUAUCGCUAAGGGCUUCACAUAUAAUGAAAAAUUGAUUAUAAAGAGAUAUUCUCUUUAGUUUCAUCAAAAACUCUUUCAGCACUAUAAUAGUUUUAGUGGCAUAUUUUAAUCUUGAGUUACAUCAUCAUAUGGAUGUUAUGACAGUGUUUUUCAAUGGUGACAUUAGUGUGACAAUUUUUAUUAUACAAUCAGAAAACUUUAUAUCGGACAAUACAAUGGUUUACAAAUUAAAAAAAAUCUAUAUAUGGACUCAAACAGGUUUUUCAUCAAUUAUAUUACAAAUUCCAUCAAGUUAUCAUCUCAUUCGGUUUUGAGAUUAAUAGAGUGGAUAAUUGUAUAUACCAUAAAUUCAGUGGGAGUAAAUAUAUUUUUUUUAGUUUUAUAUGUCAACGACGUACUACUUGCCAACAAUGACAUAGGUUUAUUGUACAAAACCAAAAGAUUUCUGAUAAAACAAAUUGAAUGCAAGAUCUUUGGGACACAUUUUUUGUAUUAGGAAUUCAGAUACAUCGAGAUCGCUCUCGAAAUAUUCUUGUAUUGUCACAAAAAAAGUUAUUUCGAAAAAGUUCUUAAGAAAUUUGGCAUGUAGGACUGUAAAUAAGGUGACACCCCUAUGUUUAAGGGAGUUAAGUUUACUCUAAAUUAAUGCCUCAAAAAUAACUAUAAGACUAAAGAAAUGCAAAAUAUUCUUUAUGCUUCAGCUGUAAGAAGUCUUAUAUAUGCUCAAGUUUGUACAUGUCGGAUAUUGCAUACAUUGUUGGACGCUAGGGAUAUAUAUUUGAGCAAUCUAGGUAUGGAUCAUUUAAAAGCAACAAAAUGUGUCAUGUGAUAUCUACAGAGAACGAAGGACUAUAAGCUCAUAUACAGGAGAUCAGAUCAACUAGAGAUUAUUGAUUAUUUUGAUUAUGAUUUAAUCGAAUGCCAAGAAAAUAGGAGAUCCACGUCAGACUAUAUCUUCUUGUUUGUUGGGGGAGUCGUUUCCUUGAAGAGUGUUAAGUAGACACUCAUAGCCUUUUCAACCGCGGUAAUAGAGUUUAUAGCGUGUUAUGAAGUGUCCAAUCAUGGAAUAUAGCUGUGAAAUUUUAUCACUAGAUUGCGUAUUGUAAAUAACAUUGAAAGACCAUGAAAGUUAUUUUGUGAUAGUAAAUCUGUAGUUAUGUAUUCUAGUAACAACACGAAUUCGAUGAAGUCGAACCAUAUAAAAAUCAAGUUCCUAGUUGUUAAGGAAAAAAAAUCAAAGUAAUCAAAUAUCGAUAGAGCACAUCAGGACAAACUUCAUGUUUGUGGAUCCGCUUUCUAAGAGAUUACCGCUUAAGGUCUUUCAUGAGCACAUUGCCCAUAUGGGUGUUGUAUUUUCUGAGGAUAUAUAGUUUCAGUGGGAGUUUUAUACCUUAUUUACUCUUCUAAAUAAGACAUAUCUUUUAGUAAAGUUUGGAAAAGGUUUAUAUAUAUUUAUUAUCAUGUUUCAAUGAUAAAGAAUUCAAUUUAUUUUGUCUUUAAACUUGUUUACAGUUAAUCUCAUUAAGGUUUAAGUUAGGACCAGUUGGAAAUAGGUAUGUUCAUAUCACAUUGCAUGUAAUUUUCAUGUUACAUAUCCAUGCUUGAUCCAUGUCAUUUGGUUAUAUUGAUAUAUGUAACCAUUGAUGGGUUUAGUUAUGACAGAUGUAAUGAAUACCGCUUUGAUCCUAUGUUGACAUGAUUGAUGGACGAGAUUGUUUAUGGAUGCAUUCAGGUAAUGAUAACAAAAUUAAGAGUACUCAUAAAGUUAUUUAAUGCAUAAUUAUAAGGUAACAUAUAUAACUUAAGUGAGAGAUUGUUGGAUUUUAAAUUUACCAUGUAGACUUAUAUGUGUAAAUUACUGUAUAUUAAAAGGC